rnacentral:lncRNA from 1 species
CAGCCAACUAAAAGCCCCUGUUUCGGGCCCCUAAAGGCAGGCCUGUUCCCACGCUCCGCAGAGUUCGCACUCAUCAGAGUUCUUGCACUCACCAGAGUUUGUGUUCGCCAGAGUUCUCACGCUCCCCAGAGUUCCCGCGCUCCCAGAUUUCCCAUGCUUCCCAGAAUUCUUGCGCUCCCCAGAGUUCCCGCGCUUCCCAGAGUUCCUGCGCUCGCCACAGUUCCUGCGCUCACCAGAGUUCUUGCGCUCCCCAGAGUUCGCGCUCCCCAGAGUUCGCACUCACCAGAGUUCUCGCGCUCGCCAGAGUUUGCACUUGCCAGAGUUCUUGCUCUCACCAGAGUUCGCGCUCUCCAGAGUUUUCACGCUCCCCAGAGUUCCCGCGGUCCCCAGAGUUCUYGCGCUCGCUGGAGUUCACGCUUGCCAGAAUUUCCGCGCUCGCCAGAGUUCUCGUGCUCCCCAGAGUUCGCACUCACCAGAGUUCUCGCGCUUGCUAGAGUUCCCGCGCUCCCCAGAGUUUGCACUCACCAGAGUUCCCGCGCUUGCCAGAGUUCUCGUGCUCCCCAGAGUACGCGCUCCUCACAGUUCCCGCGCUCGCCACAAUUCCUGCACUCCCCAGAGUUUGUGCGCUCGCCACAGUUCGGGCUCCCCAGAGUUCCCGCGCUUGCCAGAAUUUGCGCUCACAAGAGUUUUCACGCUCGCCAGAGUUCCCAGCGCUCCCCAGAGUUCCCACGCUCGCCACAGUUCCUGCGUUCACCAGAGUUCGCACUUACCAGAGUCCUUGCGCUCGCCAGAGUUCUCAUGCUCGCCAGAGUUCUCAUGCUCGCCAGAGUUUGCAUUCGCCAGAGUUUGCAUUCGCCAGAGUUCGCGGAAUCUCAAGAGUUCACGCUCGCCAGAGCUCCCGCGCUCCCCAAUGUUCGCGCUUGCCAGAAUUCUUGCGCUCUCCAGAGUUCUCACGCUCCCCACAGUUCGCACUCACAGGAGUUCCCGCGCUCCCCAGAUUUCUCGCGCUCCCCAGAGUUCGCACUCACCAAAGUUCACGCUCCCCAGAGUUCUCAUGCUCACCAGAGUUUGCAGUCACCAGGGUUCUCAUGCUUGCCAGAGUUCACAUUCGCCAGAGUUCUCGCGCUUGCCAGAAUACCUGCGCUCCCCAGAGUUCCCGCCCUCCCCAGAGUUCGCACUCACCAGAGUUCCCGCGU